AAAAUAUGUGUCUUGACUAAUUGCAAAAUGAACUUAUUAGUAUUUUGCUUCGCAAUUUUAGUUUGGGCUUUACACAAUUUUCUAGCCAAACUGUGACUUUUUUUUAUUAUCAUUAUUAAUUUAAUUUAAAAAAAGUAUGAAUUAUAGAUAACAAACUCAAUUUAGUUGUUAGCUAGCCAUCUCUCUAUCUUUUUGUGCAAUGGUUUUGGCUUCUAGACAAUGAAAGUAUGUACUUUUUUACUUUCUUUCAAGGAUAGUCAAAA
rnacentral:misc_RNA from 1 species